GAUGAACGCUGGCGGCGUGCUUAACACAUGCAAGUCGAACGGACAGGCCCAAGCUUUCUUGGGUUCUCGAGUGCCGCACGGGUGUGUAACACGUGGGUGAUCUGCCCUUCACUUCGUGAUAUGCCUUGGAAACUGGGUCUAAUACCGGAUAGGACCUCUUCUUGCACGUUGUUCUGGAAAGUUUUCGCGGUGUGGUAUGAGGUCGCGGAGUAUCCGCUUGUCGUUGGGGUAGUGGCAUACCAACGCGUAGACGGGUAGCCGGCCUGUGAGAGUGGAGGGACAGAUGGGGACGGAGAGACGGGCCAGAGUCGGGCGGGAGGCAGCAGUGGGGAAUAUUGGACAAUGGGCGCAAGCGUGAUGGAGGGAGGCCGCGUGAGGGAGGACGGCCGUCGGGUGGGAAGCACCUAUGGGUAGGGAAGAAGGGAUUUUGUGACGGUACCUGGAGAAGAAGCACCGGCUAACUACGUG
rnacentral:rRNA from 1 species